UUUAUUUUGAUGUGGUCCCAAUAGUUUAUUUUUGCUUUUGUUUCCCUUGCCUUGGGAAACAUAUCUAGCAAGAAGUUGUGAUAGCUAAUGACAAAGAGGUUAUUGCCUCUGUUCUCCUCUAGGAUUGUAAUGGUUUCAGGUCUCACAUUUAGGGCAUGACUACCUAUUUAAUGGUACAACCUGUAUCACACACGUCCCUUCCACCCUUCCACUCCUGAUUUUCUUUAAUCUGCUUUACUUUUCCUCAUUUUCAUUCAUAUUUCAUAUUAUAACAUUUAUCAUAUAUAUUUAACAUUUAUAAAUCUCGGCCCAUGUUGGGCUCCAUGCUUUGCAUGAAACUUACUUAAAAAAAACAAAUAACAUUUAUAAAUCUUUAUAAUAUUUUCAGAUUCUAACAUCUAUGUUGUUAUUAAUUGUAUUUACUGUUUAUUUUCUAUUUUCCUCUGCCAAACUGUAAAUUCCUUGAAAUCAGGUAUCUUUAUCUGUUUUAUUCACUUCUAUAUCACAAGUGCCUAGAAGAAUGCCUAGUAUAGGUUUAAUCAACAUGUUUUUAGUAAGUAAAUGAAUUAAUAGAUGAAUCAAUGGGCAUCUUUGACUUGUUUGUCAUUUUAAAGUAAAAGAUUUUAAUACUUCUCCACUAAGAAUAUUUGUUGUAAGGUUUUGGUAAUAAAUGUUUAUCAGCUUAAGAAAAUUAAUUUCUACCUAUGUUUUGAAUCAACUUGGCCUGUGUUUUUCUUUCUUUACAGUCAUUCUCUGAUUUUGCUCUUUUGAAGUUAAUGGAGAAUGGUCAACAUUUUUACUUUCUGGAAGACUUUUAUAAUGAUGGAAAGACAUAUUUCUUUAAAGUUGCAUAGAACCCUCCCCCCAAACUAUAUGAUGCUAGAGCAAAGAGUUUUUUCUGGCUGGUAAACACAGAAGUUGGAGAGGACCACUCCGCCUGGCCUUGAGGACAUGAAUUACCAGGUGUUGAACUGUCCAAGAGGAUCAUGUGUCAAGGAACAAUGUGUGGUCUCUAGGACCUCAGAGUAACCCCCAGAACAGCUAACAAGAAGGCAGAGACCUCCCUCCCAUACCUCCAAGGAGGCAAAUUGUGCCAAAACCAAAGUGGGCUCAGAGACAGGUAUUUUCUGAGUCAAGCUUCCAGAUGAGAACACAGGUUGGUUGAUACCUUGAUGUCAGCUUUGGAGACCCUGAGCAUAGAACCCAGCUAACUAACAGUCCUAACUCACAGAAACCAUGAGAUAAUAAGUUAGUGUUGUUUUAAGUUGUUACAUAUAUAGUAAUUUGUUCCACAGAGACUGAAAACUAAUACAGUUGGAUAAGUGGUGUUUUCUUUACAUUCUUUG